rnacentral:rRNA from 1 species
UACAGAGGUCUCAAGCGUUGUUCGGAUUCAUUGGGCGUAAAGGGUGUGUAGGUGGCGCCGUAAGUCGGGUGUGAAAGCCCCGGGCUCAACCCGGGAAGUGCACUCGAAACUCAACAGGCUAGAGUAUCGGAGAGGGUGGUGGAAUUCCCAGUGUAGAGGUGAAAUUCGUAGAUAUUCGCAAGAACACCAGUGGCGAAGGCGGCUCACUGGCCCGAUACUGACGCUGGAGGUGC